rnacentral:rRNA from 1 species
AGUGAACGCUGGCGGUAGGCCUAACACAUGCAAGUCGAGCGGCAGCACAGUAAGAGCUUGCUCUUACGGGUGGCGAGUGGCGGGCGGGUGAGGAGUACAUCGCCAUCUACUUUUUCUUGGAUGAUAACGUAGGGAAACUUACGCUAAUAGCGCAUACGACCUACGGGUGAAAGCAGGAGAUCUUCGGACCUUGCGCGUUUGAAUGAGCCGAUGCCGGAUUAGCUUGUUGGCGGGGUAAAGGCCCACCAUGGCGACGAUCCGUAGCCGGUCUGAGAGGAUGAUCGGCCACACUGGAACUGAGACACGGUCCUGACUCCUACGGGAGGCAGCAGUGGGGAAUGUUGGGCAAUGGGCGAAAGCCUGACCCAGCCACGCCGCGUGGGUGAAGAAGGCCUUCGGGUCGUAAAGCCCUUUUGUUGGGAAAGAACAGCUGUAGGGUAAUACAUCGCUGUUCUGACGGUACCCAAUGAAUAAGCACCGGCUAACUACGUG